ensembl:lncRNA
GAGUGAAGAAAUCAAAAAGAUCAUCUGCAAGACCUUGCCAAAUCUGUCUGAAGAGACCCAGUGGCAAAUAAUAUGGAAACUUCAGAGCUCCGACUUGGAGUCAAAAGAGGACUUAAAAUAUGUACAACAGGAAGACAUUGCUGAUCUGUUACCUGUUAUCCAGCGCAGAAAACUCCUGGAUGCAUUUAAAUUAGAAACCGAGACAGUUGCAUUGGAUUUAUAAGUCAUUCCAACUUCGUCACCACUGAGUAGUGAUUGGUUGGUGUCUGGGUCUUCAUCACCAACUUUAUGCACUCCGCCUAAUUCUAGCUCAUCACAGCUAUCGGCCAUUUCGUCAUGUUCAAGCCAGGCAAGAAACAGCAAGCCAAGCAACAGACCUUCCACAUCUCAGAUACUGAAAACAUGGCCAGAAAUAUUCCAGGUCCCUUGGGAACAAAUGCCACAGGAAAUUCGUUAUGCAAUUGCAGAUGGCAAGAGACCUAAACCAGUGGAGCGACACCAGAUGGUACGAGUACUCGCGGAUGAAAUGAGAAGAUGGUU